rnacentral:lncRNA from 1 species
GAAUGAUUGGGAACCAAUGAAUAGUUGUUCAGUAAAUGGUUUAUAUUUUACAGAUGAUGAAACUGAAACACAAAAAAUUUAGAUUAACUCUUAGGUGACAAAGCCAGGAUUGAAGCUCAUGCGGUCUGGCUCCAGAACAACUCUUCUUCAUAGUUACGUUAUACUGCCCCUGCAUUGUUGGUAUUGAAAAUAACUGAUACCGUGCUUCCAGAAGAUUUUUCUAACAGUGUUUGCAAGCUAUAAAAUAGUGCUUUCACUUAGAAAAGGCUAGACGUGGUGGUUCAUGCCUGUAAUCCCAGCACUUUGAGAGGCCGAGGCACCAUGCUGGGAGAUAAGGAUCCAACAUAAGACAAACAGUGCUGAUGCUUUUGGAAAGCUCAUAUUCAAGCUGGGGAGACAAACAACAUACAAGUGGCUGUAGCUACCUUCUGCAUAUGGAUAUCCAGUUUUCCCAGCACCACUUAUUAAAGAGACUGUCUUUUCUGCAGUGUAUAUUCUUGGCACCGUUGUUGAAAAUGAAUUCAUUGUAGGUGUG